CUUCCAAAAAUAAAUGUUUCCUUUUUGCAUCGCAUUCUUUCGGAUUCUACUACUCCUUAUAUUUUGUAUUGCGUUAUAUUUCUCACCUCCGCACUUAAUUUAGUCUCGCUUCUUCCUAUUCUACUACAGUCAAUAUAUCAUUCUGCCUUGCAAACAGAGAAGAUGAUGAAAAUUGCUUUAUCCAAUUCCAUAGUGGAUUCAAAAAUCAAUCGAAUCCUUGGCGCCAAUUUUGUAAAGAUAUCCGCUAGAAUUGCAAUUUUUGAAGUUUUUCAAGUUAUAUUGAUCCUCUUUAACAUUUUUUUCACGAGAAGCAUGUCCCUUUUGAAUAUUUUUAUGUAUUAUCACUUUUUGAAG